rnacentral:misc_RNA from 1 species
GAUGAAGAACGGAGCGAAAUGCGAUAAGUAAUGUGAAUUGCAGAUUUCAGUGAAUCAUCGAAUCUUUGAACGCACCUUGCACCCUGUGGUAUUCCACAGGGUAUGCCCGUUUGAGUAUCAUUAACUCAUCAACUCCAAAACCUUUUGUGUUCUUGGUGUUUGGUCUUGAGGGUCAUUGCAGGCUUUUUUUUUGCAAAGUCGGCUCCCUUUAAAUCCAUUAGCGAGAUUUCCCUGUGCUGAACUCGUCUCUCGACGUGAUAAGUCUAUCUGCGUCAAAUUUAGAGUUCUCGUUGGGCUUGCUUCUAAUCGUCCACUUUGGACAAUCGGAUCGAGAGAUGUCUAUGUGCAUCCACCUUUCCAAAACCAUUUUUGAUCUCAAAUCGGGCAGGACUACCCGCUGAACUUAAGCAUAUCAAUAAGCGGAGGA